UAGAGUGGGUAAGUAUUGAGCAUGGUA
rnacentral:sRNA from 1 species